rnacentral:lncRNA from 1 species
CUUGGCUCUCUGGGCUAGAAACAUCUCUGCUGGGGCUGCUUGAACAUUUCCCUUAGGAACAAUUCUCUAGGGGAAAUAGGUUUUUUUGGCUAAAAGUACCCCUCUCCCUUUUUUUUUUUAAAGGCAGCAUCUCAUUUGCAUGGAAACCUACAUUUUAUUCAUAAAAACAUCUCAGCUCUUCCCGAAGCUUUUGCAAUUGGUUUGAUGAAACAUUGGAAAUUACCUGCAAGACUCAACUUGACUAGCUCUGCUCUCUAGUGACACAGCCAGGCGUUUCUCUUCCAUUUGGGCAAGAAACAGUCUUUUUCACAUCAUUCCUGCUCGCUCAUUGCCAGGUGCAGAAGCAGCAGGACAAGGCAGCAAGUAAAGUAAAAGUAAAGCGGCAGGGGAGGGGCGGGGAGGAAACCAGCACUUUCAGUCUUGAAAGUAGUUUCAGUUUAAGCAGUGGACAGAGUUGCAGGUUAGCUGUUGUUUUUAACCCCUCCUUGAACGACCGGAAAGAAGGGUGAUGCCUUAGGCAAGCGGAGCCGCGGAGGUGCCGGUGAAAGGAAUCGUCUGCACCGAAACCGUCCCCRGUGAGGCUGUCAGCCUUCCAAGAACGACGAUCAUACGCGCAGCUCUUGCUGAUACGUGCUCGCAGCCACUCACCUUGUUUAUCAGGACAAACAUAUGUUGUACCCACACAACGCUGCUGCUAUGGCACCUAAGGCUGAGAUUUCUCUACCUGAUGAGGCCGACGGGGAAAUACCCAAGAAGAAUGCAUACGAAUAAAGACAGGAGUCAAGAGGGUUUCUAAGCAGACUUUUUCAAAGAAAACGCUAAGGAAAUCCUGAACAGGGGAUAUCCCCACCUGAAAAUCUAGAGCUGCUGAAGGGUUUGUUUCUUCUUUUUUUUCUUUUAUACAGGUAUUUCUCCCCCCACUUCCCACAAAAUACUUUUUAUGAUUUUUCUUGACUUAAUUCAGUGGUGAUGUGAUAGUGCAUGGAAGACCUAAUACACG